CCUACGGGUGGCUGCAGUGAGGAAUAUUGGUCAAUGGCCGAAAGGCUGAACCAGCCAAGCCGCGUGAGGGAGGAAGGCGCAGAGCGUCGCAGACCUCUUUUGCCGGGGGACAAAAGGCCGGACUCGUCCGGUCCUGAGGGUACCCGGAGAACAAGCAUCGGCUAACCCCGUGCCAGCAGACGCGGUAAUACGGGGGAGGCGAGCGUUAUCCGGAUUCAUUGGGUUAAAAGGGUGCGCAGGCGGGCCUUUAAGCCGGCGGGGAAAUCGCGGGGCUCAACCCCGCCUAGCCGUCGGAACUGGGGGCCUUGAGUGCGGCGGAGGCAUGCGGAAUGCGCGGUGUAGCGGUGAAAUGCAUAGAGAUCGCGCAGAACCCCGAUUGCGAAGGCAGCGUGCCGUGCCGCCACUGACGCUGAGGCACGAAAGCGCGGGGAUCGAACAGGAUUAGAUACCCUUGUAGUC
rnacentral:rRNA from 1 species